rnacentral:rRNA from 1 species
UUAAUGUCCAGGAGAGUGGCCCUCCGCAUGGAGGGUUGACUAGAGAUUUAUCGGUAUGGGAUGAGCUUGCGUCCGAUUAGCUAGUUGGCGGGGCAACGGCCCACCAAGGCGACUAUCGGUAGCCGGCCUGAGAGGGUGAUCGGCCACAUUGGGACUGAGAUACGGCCCAGACUCCUACGGGAGGCAGCAGUAGGGAAUAUUGCACAAUGGGGGAAACCCUGAUGCAGCAACGCCACGUGUGGGAAGAAGCAUUUCGGUGUGUAAACCACUGUCAUGAGGGAAUAAGGCCCGCCUCCGGGCGGGAUUGAAUGUACCUUGAGAGGAAGCACCGGCAAACUUCGUGCCAGCAGCCGCGGUAAUACGAGGGGUGCAAGCGUUGUUCGGAAUUACUGGGCGUAAAGGGAGCGUAGGCGGAGAUUCAAGCGGAUUGUACAAUCCCGGGGCCCAACCCCGGCUCUGCAGUCCGAACUGGAUCUCUUGGAUAGUUCAGGGGCAGGCGGAAUUCCUGGUGUAGCGGUGGAAUGCGUAGAGAUCAGGAAGAACACCGAUGGCGAAGGCAGCCUGCUGGGGACUUAUCGACGCUGAGGCUCGAAAGUGCGGGUAGCAAACAGGAUUAGAUACCCUGGUAGUCCGCACCGUAAACAAUGCAUACUGGGUGUCCGGGGGUUCCCCCGGGUACCGUAGCCAACGCGUUAAGUAUGCCGCCUGGGGAGUACGUACGCAAGUAUGAAACUCAAAGGAAUUGACGGGGGCCCGCACAAGCGGUGGAGCAUGUGGUUUAAUUCGAAGCAACGCGCAGAACCUUACCAGGGUUUGACAUGGGAUCGCCGCGGCGAGAGAUAAUCACUA